rnacentral:rRNA from 1 species
UGAGUAAAGUGGCGCACGGGUGAGUAACACGUGACUAACCUACCCUUGAGUGGGGGAUAACCUAGGGAAACCUGGGCUAAUACCGCAUAAUACCUAUGGGUCAAAGGAGCAAUUCGCUUUAGGAGGGGGUCGCGGCAGAUUAGUUAGUUGGCAGGGUAAUGGCCUACCAAGGCGAUGAUCUGUAUCCGGCCUGAGAGGGCGCACGGACACACUGGAACUGAAACACGGUCCAG